rnacentral:rRNA from 1 species
GGGCCCGCACAAGCGGUGGAGCAUGUGGUUUAAUUCGAUGAUACGCGAGGAACCUUACCAGGGCUUAAAUGUAGUCUGACAGGGGUGGAAACACCCCUCCUUCGGGCAGAUUACAAGGUGCUGCAUGGUUGUCGUCAGCUCGUGCCGUGAGGUGUCAGGUUAAGUCCUAUAACGAGCGCAACCCCUGCCGUUAGUUGCCAGCAUGUAAUGAUGGGAACUCUAACGGGACUGCCGGUGCAAACCGCGAGGAAGGUGGGGAUGACGUCAAAUCAUCACGGCCCUUACGUCCUGGCUACACACGUGCUACAAUGGCCGGUACAGAGGGCAGCUACCAUGGUGAACAGGAUGGCA